rnacentral:rRNA from 1 species
UAGGGAAUCUUCGGCAAUGGACGAAAGUCUGACCGAGCAACGCCGCGUGAGUGAAGAAGGUUUUCGGAUCGUAAAACUCUGUUGUUAGAGAAGAACAAGGACGUUAGUAACUGAACGUCCCCUGACGGUAUCUAACCAGAAAGCCACGGCUAACUACGUGCCAGCAGCCGCGGUAAUACGUAGGUGGCAAGCGUUGUCCGGAUUUAUUGGGCGUAAAGCGAGCGCAGGCGGUUUCUUAAGUCUGAUGUGAAAGCCCCCGGCUCAACCGGGGAGGGUCAUUGGAAACUGGGAGACUUGAGUGCAGAAGAGGAGAGUGGAGUUCCAUGUGUAGCGGUGAAAUGCGUAGAUAUAUGGAGGAACGCCAGUGGCGAAGGCGGCUCUCUGGUCUGUAACUGACGCUGAGGCUCGAAAGCGUGGGGAGCAAACAGG